rnacentral:miRNA from 2 species
CAAGCUCGCUUCUAUGGGUCUGA